AUGAGCUGCCCGGCGAACGCGAUGGGCGUGAAGAAGGACGAGAAGAGCGUGCCGAACCUGGUGCAGCUGCUGGACCCGAGCCCAGGGUACACGUACGGCCAAGAAGUAGGCCAUCUCGUGCCUCCUGUCGCUGUCGGCGAGCAAGAGGUGCAAGAAGCUGAUGAUCGCGCAGGGCGCCAUCGGGUACCUGAAGAAGCUCUCCGAGAUGGACGUGGCAGGCGCCAAGAAGCAUCGGGUGCCUGA
rnacentral:rRNA from 1 species